GCGGAGUGAUAUGAGCCCACCACAUGACUAAACAUCAGCGAAGCACUGCCUUAUUGGCUAUAUCCAGAGGCAGGCUUUAUCUUAGAAAAUCGCACAAAAAAUGGAGCGCAAAGGAGGAGCAUAGAGGGAAAGGAGAAAAGCCCUGGCGCAAGUUGCUGCAAAAUUCCAGCCAUUUUCGCCAGUAAGGGAGCAGACACAGCAGCAAUCAUGGUGGUCAUACAGUUACCACCCAAACUGUCUCUAAGCACAGAGGUCAUCAUGGAAUUGCGACCCAGCCAGAUCCACCAGGUGCAACUUGGAGCACCGUACCAUGGCUGAACCCAGCUCUUUGCUGCACAGGUGAAUGGUAAAG